rnacentral:rRNA from 1 species
UACGGAGGGGGCUAGCGGUGUUCGGAAUUACUGGGCGUAAAGCGCACGUAGGCGGAGCAGAAAGUCAGAGGUGAAAUCCCACGGCUCAACCUUGGAACUGCCUGUGAAAAUCCUGGUCUUGAGGUCGAGAGACGUGAGUGGAAUUCCGAGUGUAGAGGUGAAAUUCGUAAGUAUUCGGAAGAACACCAGUGGCGAAGGCGGGUCACUGGCACGAUCCUGACGCUGAGGUGCGAACGCGUGGGGAGCAACCAGG